rfam:Brevibacillus panacihumi W25 genomic scaffold Scaffold3, whole genome shotgun sequence.
GUUGAUGAAAUGAAUAUGCCGUAGACAGAAGGUGCGCGUUUGAAUGAACGCUGCUUAAUAUCCCUCCGAGGCGUGUAAUGUACGAAAGAGGAAAGGUAUCUUUCCUUUGACGAUAGAGCAUUAUGCCCUCGUGAGUCUGCGAGGGCAUUUUCCUUUUUUCGA